AUUGAACGCUGGCGGCAGGCCUAACACAUGCAAGUCGAAUGGUAACAGGAAACAGCUUGCUGUUUCGCUGACGAGUGGCGGACGGGUGAGUAAUGUCUGGGAAACUGCCUGAUGGAGGGGGAUAACUACUGGAAACGGUAGCUAAUACCGCAUAACGUCGCAAGACCAAAGAGGGGGACCUUCGGGCCUCUUGCCAUCAGAUGUGCCCAGAUGGGAUUAGCUAGUAGGUGGGGUAAAGGCUCACCUAGGCGACGAUCCCUAGCUGGUCUGAGAGGGUGACCAGCCACACUGGAACUGAGACACGGUCCAGACUCCUACGGGAGGCAGCAGUGGGGAAUAUUGCACAAUGGGCGCAAGCCUGAUGCAGCCAUGCCGCGUGUAUGAAGAAGGCCUUCGGGUUGUAAAGUACUUUCAGCGGGGAGGAAGGGAGUAAAGUUAAUACCUUUGCUCAUUGACGUUACCCGCAGAAGAAGCACCGGCUAACUCCGUG
rnacentral:rRNA from 1 species